AUUGAACGCUGGCGGCAUGCUUUACACAUGCCAGUCGAACGGUAACAGGCCUUCGGGUGCUGACGAGUGGCGAACGGGUGAGUAAUACAUCGGAACGUACCCAGAGGUGGGGGAUAACGCAGCGAAAGCUGUGCUAAUACCGCAUGUGAUCUGAGGAUGAAAGCGGGGGACCGAGCAGCAAUGUUUGGCCUCGCGCCUUUGGAGCGGCCGAUGUCGGAUUAGCUAGUUGGUGGGGUAAAGGCCUACCAAGGCGACGAUCCGUAGCUGGUCUGAGAGGACGACCAGCCACACUGGGACUGAGACACGGCCCAGACUCCUACGGGAGGCAGCAGUGGGGAAUUUUGGACAAUGGGCGCAAACCUGAUCCAGCAAUGCCGCGUGCGGGAAGAAGGCCUUCGGGUUGUAAACCGCUUUUGGCAGGAACGAAACGGUGUCCGCUAAUACCGGGCGCUAAUGACGGUACCUGCAGAAUAAGCACCGGCUAAUUACGU
rnacentral:rRNA from 1 species